UACGUAGGGUGCAAGCGUUAAUCGGAAUACUGGGCGUAAAGCGUGCGCAGGCGGUUGUGCAAGACAGAUGUGAAAUCCCCGGGCUCAACCUGGGAAUUGGCAUUUGUGACUGCACGGCUAGAGUGUGUCAGAGGGGGGUAGAAUUCCACGUGUAGCAGUGAAAUGCGUAGAGAUGUGGAGGAAUGACCGAUGGCGAAGGCAGCCCCCUGGGAUAACACUGACGCUCAUGCACGAAAGCGUGGGGAGCAAACAGG
rnacentral:rRNA from 1 species